AGUUCUCUGCCUCAGCCUCCCGAGCAGCUAGGAUUACAGGCACCAGCCACCACGCCUGGCUGAUUUUUGUAUUUUUAGUAGAGACAGGGUUUCAUGAUCUUGGCUAGGCUGGUCUUGAACUGCUGACCUCCUGAUCCACUUUGGGAGGCCAAGGCAGGCAGAUAUCUAGGUCGGGAGUUCGAGACCAGCCUGACCAACAUGGAGAAACCCCGUCUCUACUAAAAAUACAAAAUUAGACGGGUGUGGUGGCGCAUGUCUGUAAUCCCAGCUAUUCGGGAG
rnacentral:lncRNA from 1 species